rnacentral:rRNA from 2 species
AUUGAACGCUGGCGGCGUGCUUAACACAUGCAAGUCGAACGAUGAAAGAGAAUCCGAUCUCUUCGGAGUGAAGAAUCUCUGGAUUAGCGGCAGACGGGUGAGUAACGCGUGAGCAACCUACCUCUUACAAAGGGAUAGCCAUGGGAAACCGUGAUUAAUACCAUAUGACACAUUCAUAAGGCAUCUUAAGAAUGUUAAAGCUACGGCGGUAAGAGAUGGGCUCGCGUCCCAUUAGCUAGUUGGUGAGGUAACGGCCCACCAAGGCGACGAUGGGUAACCGGCCUGAGAGGGUGAACGGUCACAUUGGAACUGAGACACGGUCCAAACUCCUACGGGAGGCAGCAGUGGGGAAUAUUGCACAAUGGAGGAAACUCUGAUGCAGCGACGCCGCGUGAGCGAUGAAGGAAUUCGUUUCGUAAAGCUCUGUUCUAUGGGAAGAAAAGGACUGUACCAUAGGAGCAAGCCCCGGCUAAAUACGUGCCAGCCGCCGCGGUAA